rnacentral:rRNA from 1 species
CACGUAGGGGGCAAGCGUUGUCCGGAAUUAUUGGGCGUAAAGAGCUCGUAGGCGGCUCGGUAAGUCAGGUGUCAAAUCCUCAGGCUCAACCUGGGGCUUCACCUGAUACUGCUGUGGCUAGAGUCCGGUAGGGGAGCGUGGAAUUCCUGGUGUAGCGGUGAAAUGCGUAGAGAUCGUAAGGAAGACCAGUGGCGAAGGCGGGUCUCUGGACAGUUCCUGACACUGAGGCACGAAGGCCAGGGGAGCAAACGGG